GAUCCUGGCUCAGGAUGAACGCUGGCGGCGUGCCUAAUACAUGCAAGUCGAGCGAAUGGAUUAAGGGCUUGCUCUUAUGAAGUUAGCGGCGGACGGGUGAGUAACACGUGGGUAACCUGCCCAUAAGACUGGGAUAACUCCGGGAAACCGGGGCUAAUACCGGAUAACAUUUUGAACCGCAUGCUUCGAAAUUGAAAGGCGGCUUCGGCUGUCACUUAUGGAUGGUCCCCCGUCGCAUUAGCUAGUUGGGGAGGUAACGGCUCACCAAGGCAACGAUGCGUAGCCGACCUGAGAGGGUGAUCGGCCACACUGGGACUGAGACACGGCCCAGAUUCCUACGGGAGGCAGCAGUAGGGAAUCUUCCGCAAUGGACGAAAGUCUGACGGAGCAACGCCGCGUGAGUGAUGAAGGCUUUCGGGUCGUAAAACUCUGUUGUUAGGGAAGAACAAGUGCUGGUUGAAUAAGCUGGCACCUUGACGGUACCUAACCAGAAAGCCACGGCUAACUACGUGCCAGCAGCCGCGGUAAUACGUACGUGGCAAGCGUUAUCCGGAAUUAUUGGGCGUAAAGCGCGCGCAGGUGGUUUCUUAAGUCUGAUGUGAAAGCCCACGGCUGAACCGUGGAGGGUCAUUGGAAACUGGGAGACUUGAGUGCAGAAGAGGAAAGUGGAAUUCCAUGUGUAACGGUGAAAUGCGUAGAGAUAUGGAGGAACACCAGUGGCGAAGGCGACUUUCUGGUCUGUAACUGACACUGAGGCGCGAAAGCGUGGGGAGCAAACAGGAUUAGAUACCCUGGUAGUCCACGCCGUAAACGAUGAGUGCUAAGUGUUAGAGGGUUUCCGCCCUUUAGUGCUGAAGUUAACGCAUUAAGCACUCCGCCUGGGGAGUACGGCCGCAAGGCUGAAACUCAAAGGAAUUGACGGGGGCCCGCACAAACGGUGGAGCAUGUGGUUUA
rnacentral:rRNA from 1 species